GAUGAACGCUAGCUACAGGCUUAACACACGCAAGUCGAGGGGAAACGAUAUUGGAAGCUUGCUUCCGAUAGGCGUCGACCGGCGCACGGGUGAGUAACGCGUAUCCAACCUGCCCAUCACUUGGGGAUAACCUUGCGAAAGUAAGACUAAUACCCAAUGAUAUCUAUAGAAGACAUCUGAAGGAGAUUAAAGAUUUAUCGGUGAUGGAUGGGGAUGCGUCUGAUUAGCUUGUUGGCGGGGUAACGGCCCACCAAGGCGACGAUCAGUAGGGGUUCUGAGAGGAAGGUCCCCCACAUUGGAACUGAGACACGGUCCAAACUCCUACGGGAGGCAGCAGUGAGGAAUAUUGGUCAAUGGGCGAGAGCCUGAACCAGCCAAGUAGCGUGCAGGAUGACGGCCCUAUGGGUUGUAAACUGCUUUUAUAAGGGAAUAAAGUGAGUCUCGUGAGACUUUUUGCAUGUACCUUAUGAAUAAGGACCGGCUAAUUCCGUGCCAGCAGCCGCCGUAA
rnacentral:rRNA from 1 species